AAAUCACACAGGCGAGUGUGGGAGGAAGCCAACUUGGAAACACCGCGGAGCCAAACUCCCUCUUGUUGAAGACUGAACUGGCCCGGCGGUCGGUGGCUCUGGAGGGAGGCAGACAGCGGGUACACAGACCGGGUUGUAAUGAACCACUGCGGCUUAUAUAGCUACACAUCAACCCUCCGUCCCGUAACCAACCUGGAAGUUUAAACUUCAAACUUUCGGCGGGGCUCCUCAUUCUGAACUCGUUAAGUCGUUUGUCUGGCUGGCCUGUUGACCGAAGCGUCCGUCCCCACAUGUUUCUGCCUUGUUCCUGCUAGUUUCCAAAACAACCAGGUGAGCGGGCCGUCUGGCUUCCCCGGGGACCUGCGCAGGUAACGGGGUUGGUUUACCUGCACGCACACGGUGACGCACGACUCUCUUUGACGUUUCCUUUUCGCCCUACGGCUCUCCGUAGUCGCCAGAGAACAGCACCGGGGAGCCGCUGAGCACCAAGACGGCCAUGGAUCUACCAGGACAGAGCGAGACCCGGCGGAGGGAAGGCAGAAGAAACCCCGCGGUGAUUAACAGGAGAAAACCACCGGUGGAUAAGCUGUACGCCGUCGGUAUUUUCUUUCUACAAGUUCUGUCUAUCCAGGCUGCUGCCAUCCAGUUCACCAAGGAGCCCAAGUCCCAGGAUGCCUUGCACGGCCGCAGCGCCAUGCUACGCUGCGAGGUCAGCGAUCCGGCUGACAUCAGUUACGGCUGGCUUCACAACGGCCAGCCCCUGGAAAACAGCGAGAGGCGCUUCCAGGAGGGCAGCAACCUCAAGUUCACCGCUGUGGAUCGGCAGCUGGACGCAGGAAACUUUGAGUGCGUCGCACAAAACACGGUCACAGGAGAGGCGCUCCACUCCUACAAUGCCUCCUUCAAUAUUAAGUGGUUAGAAAGUGGUGGUGUGACUUUGAAGGAGCCCGCCUCAGAAGGGGAGAUCGAGAGCUCUGCGCCGGUCACGUUGCGCUGUCAUAUUGAUGGACACCCACGGCCGACGUGCCAGUGGUUCAAGGACGGGGUGAAGCUGACAGAGAAGAGCCAUCAGAUCAACAACAAGGAGAGGACGCUCACCUUUAACAGUGCCAGUCCGGACGACAAUGGCCUGUACUACUGCUGUGCCAAGAAUGCAGCGGGGCACGUUUGUAGCAACAGCAACUUCACCCUCAACAUUAUAGAUAAGAGUUUCCCGCGGCCGGUGGUCACUCCUGAGGACCAGGUGGUGUUGAGGAACGAGGAGGCCGCGUUCCACUGCCAGUUCACCGCAGAGCCGGCCCCCACGUUGGAGUGGUACCACGAAAACGAGCUGCUGGCAAACAAGUCUCGUCUGAUCCUGUUAUCCAACGGCACGCUGCUAAUCACCCAGGUCAAGCCCAGGAACACAGGGACCUACAAGUGUGUUGGCCGCGGCCUCCGAGGGUCCCAUGUUACACUGGAGGCCUCCCUCCUCAUAGCUGAGAUAGACGACAUGGUGCCCAAGAUGUCGAAGGUUUUCACAUCAGACACCCUGCAGCGGGUGGCCUGUCGUCCCCCACGCGGCAGACCUGAGCCCGAGGUCUGGUGGGAGAGAGGAGGUCAGCGGGUGCCCACGGAGGGCAGAGUGUACCAGGAUGGCCUGGAUCUGGUCUUCAGUCCCACAGAGGAAGGAGACUCGGACACCUACACCUGCGUGGCCCAGAACAGGGCAGGACGCAAGACACAGGAGGUCACCUUCACCGUUGCCACCGCCCCAGUGUGGGUGACGAGGCCUCAGGACAGCCACCUAGAGGAGGGUAAACCAGGUUACCUUCACUGUCACGCUCAGGCCAACCCUGAACCUGAGGUCACCUGGCUCCGCAACAACAUCAUGAUCACGCCAGAGGACUCUCGUUUUAAGAUAUUCCCUAACGGCACCCUCAGGAUCAACAAUGUGGAGGUGUACGACAGCCAGAUGUACGGCUGUGAAACCAAGACCGUAGGCGGCCGACUGUCUGGGCAAGCUCGAGUUAGUGUGCUUGAGAAGCUGAAGUUCACCCCGACCCCCCAGCCUUCUCAGUGCCUGGAGCUGGAUAACGAGAUCACCAUCCAGUGCUCAGCUAAAGGCAGAGAGAGUCCAACCAUCCGCUGGACCAAAGCAGACGGAGGAGAGCUGCCGCCUCGGGUGGAGCAGAAGAACGGCCAGCUCCACUUCAGCAAAGUCACCCGCAGCGACGCCAACAACUACACCUGCAUCGCCUCCAACAGCCUCCAGGGGGAGAUCAGAGCCCUGGUAGCCCUCAUAGUGGCCGUGUACAUUCGCUUUAAGGUGGAACCAGAGAAUACAACGGUGUACCAAGGACACACAGCCAUCCUGCACUGUCAGGCCACCGGCGACCCCGAGCCUCACAUCCACUGGAUGAUCAAAGACAAGGCGCUGGACAUCAGUAAGAACAGGAGGUUCCAGAAGAUGCCCAAUGGCUCCUUGGUGAUUACAGAUGUUACUACAGAUGACACGGGCAGAUACACAUGUGUGGCCGGAAACAGUUGCAGCAUCAAAGACCGUGUGGCUCAGCUGUAUGUAGUGGACAAACCAAUACAUUCCUUUGACGAAGAUGGGGACAAGGCUCCCUACAAGAUGAUCCAAACCAUCGGCCUGUCAGUGGGAGCAGCCGUGGCUUAUAUCAUCGUAGUGCUGGGACUCAUGUUCUACUGCAAAAAGAGACGCCACGACAAAAGACUGCAGAAAGGCCAGGACGGAGAGGAGCCGGAGAUGGAGUGUCUCAACGGAGGGGCUGUUCAACAAAAUGGCCACACCACCGCCGAGAUCCAGGAAGAGGUGGCACUCACCAACAUGGGUACCAUGGCAACAACCGAGAAACGCCACAGCCAUGUCAACAACGAUAAGCUCCACUUUCCUCGAGCAAACCUACAAACCAUCACUACUUUAGGCAAAGGGGAGUUUGGUGAGGUGCUGCUCUGCAAAGCUAAGGGUAUCGAGGAGAGCGAGGAGGAGAUGGUGGUGUUGGUGAAGAGCCUGCAGACCAGAGAUGAACAGCUCCAGCUCGACUUCCGCCGUGAAGCUGAAAUGUUCGCCAAGCUCAGCCACCCCAACGUUGUCCGCCUGUUGGGCCUGUGUAGGGAGGCAGAGCCCCACUACAUGAUCCUAGAGUACUAUGACCUGGGAGACCUAAAGCAGUUCCUGAGAAUUUCCAAAAGCAAAGAUGACAAGGUCAAAUCUCAGCCUAUCAGCACCAAGACCAAAGUUUCCAUCUGUGCCCAGGUGGCUCAUGGGAUGGAGCACCUGUCCAAUCACCGCUUUGUUCACAAAGACCUGGCCGCCCGAAACUGCCUGAUCAACAGUCAGAGGCGCAUUAAAGUGUCGUCACUCAGCCUCAGCAAGGACGUCUACAACAGUGAGUACUACCACUACAGACAGGCAUGGAUCCCGCUGCGCUGGCUCCCAGCAGAGUCUGUGUUUGAAGACGACCAGUCCACCAAGUCUGACGUGUGGGCCUUUGGAGUGUUGAUGUGGGAAGUGUUCAGUCACGGGGAAAUGCCAUAUACCAAACUCAGUGAUGACGAGGUGCUGGAAGGUCUGCAGACAGGGAAGCUGAAGCUGCCCGUUCCAGACGGAUGCCCAUCCAAAAUCUACAAGCUCAUGGUCCGCUGCUGGGCGCUAAGCCUCAAGGAGCGCCCCUCCUUCACUGAAAUCGUCCACGCCCUGGGAGAGCUGCCCUCUGACAGUAAAGUCUGAGACAACCGUAACCCCACAUCAGAGGGGAACUUUGACCAACUCCCUCCCCCCCAAAAUAAAGACAGGAAUGCUGGAUUAUUAGUCUCACACAUUUCAGGGAAGAGGGUUGAGGAGAAAACACUUUUUUUAUAUGCAUUUCAAACAGUGGGUGUGUGGAUAAGACUCCUUUGCUAUAUCAGUGGAAACACAAUCAACGUUUGUAUAAAUUGCUUCUUGUGAGCAGUGCCAGGAGUUUACGUUUGCCUUAACCGCAGCAUGGAUGACCCUCCCCUCGAGUCCCUGUCUGUGGUUCCACUGUGACUCUGCCUGCCUGUCUGCGGCCGCUCUGUCCCAGAGACACUUUGUUUUCACGGAGUCUCACAACCUCAGUGCCUCUACCCCUCCACACACACACACACACACACACACACACUCACCCUAACCUCCGUUGCUUUGUAGUAUGUUACAGUGCUCUCACUGGCUCAGAUCAAUAGAAAGUAUUGGUCGGAAGUUUAGGAAAACCCCCCCUGAAAUUUAGGUCCACUGCUCUGUCAAGUCUGAAAGAAUAUUGAAGGGAAAGUGGGACACAAUGUGACUUCAGUGGAGCAUUGAAGCUUCAACCACUUCGGAGUGUGUUGAGUGACACCGUUUCAACUGGCCUGCUUGGAUUUAAAAUCCAAUCAGCUGCAUCAUGAGUCCGCCACCAGAAUCCUGUUGGAGAUGCCUAGCUACACAGCAACAUCCUCCAAAGUGUGUGUGUGUGUGUGUCGCGCCACUGAACUGUUCCCAUGCUGCGGUGUACAUUCAAAGAAGAAGUGGAAUAGGGUUUGCAUGAAGGUUCGUCGUCUGUUAUGCUUGUGAUUUGCAUUUUGAGAAAACUUGUGGAAUAAGCGAUCGGUGUUAUGGUAACACUUCAGGAACAUGAAAAAAAAGAUCAUAGCCAAUGAAAUAUAUUGAAUAGAUGAGAUUGCACCAGUGUGGGCUUUGUACGUUUUUAUGAGUGUGUUCUGUUCUUGUAUUAACUUUGAGGUGCUUUUUAUUGGUCACGACCAAUGGGUAAGAACCCCCAUUAUUACCACAUCAACAUUAUCGUGUUGCAGGCAUGCUGCAGCCUAUCACUGUGUUUAACCUGCAACAUCAUUUAUUCAGAAGUCCAAUCACAAGUCUCCCCUUCCGGGUCCAAUUGUUUUGUGCAAUGCUGCAAAGUGGACCAUCACACCAGGCAAUGUGUAAAUAAUGUAGAAGCCAUGCACUAACUUCACUUAAAAAGAAUAUCCCUCUUUAUCUCUAUCAUGUUGUGUAGUAGGACAUGCAGGUGCCUGUUUAUUUAUGAUGAAGGUCCUGUCUUUUUUUUUUUUAAACUAUGUUUAUAACAGAAAGGUACUUCUCUGAUGCUAUGUUUUCAUUCUCACGGUGUGAGAAUCUCAACAUCUCAAUGUGCGUUCAGUCUGGUAACCAGCUGAAUAUACUAACACAAAGUACAAAGGAGGUCAAAAGAGUGACUGCUGGUCACCAGUACUCAAUUAAGUGCCUGGUAAAUGAAGGAUUAUCUUAACUGUUUUCCCUCUUUUUUUUUUUUUUUUUUUUUUUUUUUUACAUUAUCUAAUCAAAUUCAAUGGCCUUUGUUUAUGAACUUGUUUUUAUACGUUGUUUUUAGUGUAAUGUUGUUUUUAUGAAUGCUAGGCACUCACACCUAGACCUCCUUUUUUUAAUCUGCUUCAGCAAGUGUUCACAGUAAUCACAGAUAUAUACAAAAGUAUACAUGCUGCUGUCAAUAAAAGGUUCACAGUGUUUUUACCCAA